rnacentral:rRNA from 1 species
CCCUGAUGCAGCGACGCCGCGUGAANGAAGAAGUAUNUCGGUAUGUAAACUUCUAUCAGCAGGGAAGAUAAUGACGGUACCUGACUAAGAAGCCCCGGCUAACUACGUGCCAGCAGCCGCGGUAAUACGUANGGGGCAAGCGUUAUCCGGAUUUACUGGGUGUAAAGGGAGCGUAGACGGAGUGGCAAGUCUGAUGUGAAAGGCCNGGGCUCAACCCNGGGACUGCAUUGGAAACUGUCAUNCUUGAGUGCCGGAGNGGUAAGCGGAAUUCCUAGUGUAGCGGUGAAAUGCGUAGAUAUUAGGAGGAACACCAGUGGCGAAGGCGGCUUACUGGACGGUAACUGACGUUGAGGCUCGAAAGCGUGGGGAGCAAACAGGAUUAGAUACCCUGGUAGUCCACGCCGUAAACGAUGANUACUAGGUGUCGGGGAGCAAAGCUCUUCGGUGCCGCCGCAAACGCAGUAAGUAUUCCACCUGGGGAGUACGUUCGCAAGAAUGAAACUCAAAGGAAUUGACGGA